UAAACCCAGGAUGAAAAGCACAGAAGUAGCAUCAAUAGACGUCUACUACGCCAUUGGCCCCAUCUGGGACCAAGUGGAAGAAAGAAAAACUUUUGGAAAAACCAAAGAAAAUAAAUCAAUAUUGUCUGUGAUCUCCUUGAAGACAAGCACCACAUUUUCUCUAUUGUUGGGUAUCCAGUACUUAGCAACAUGCCUGGCAUUUGGUAAGUUCUUUAUAAAAGCAGAAUUAAGUAAUUAAAUGAGACUAGGGAUCUGGUAAAUAAUAUCUAUUGUUAGUUUCAUCUAGGCAUUUUCCAGUUGCUUAGGGCAUAUUUGAGUAGAUAAGACUAAGCUGGUACCAAGAACUAAAUCUUUUAAGAAGCAAGUGUGCUGUCUUGAUACUCUCCAUUAACUAUUCUAUUUAUGUCAUAUUUGAGUAGAUAAGACUGGGCUAGUACCAAAACCAAAACUUUUAAGAAGCAAGCGUGCUGACUUCAUUUUCUACAUUCACUGCUCUUCCAACUAGAUGGGGAUGGCAAUGAAACUCUAGAGAGCUCCAGUCACAAGCUGGUAGGUACCUGGGUCUGUGAAUUACUGCGAUGAAAGAUUAAUGCCAGCCAAUAAUAAUCUCCAGUUGAGAUUUCUUUAUUACAUAUUAUGCCAUCUUUUUGUUACUAUAGUUUAGCCUACUUUAAAUCAUGUAAUUUGUCCACACCCAUUUGGCUCAAAAGCACAAUACCAGCUUUGUCAACAUCUCAGGAUGAUAAGGGAGAACUAUGGUUUAAAAAGUUUUCAGUGAAAAUGGAUGUGCUUUAUAGUUUAUAAUGCUUUGAUAUACAUUGGUUUGUAUGAUCCUCCCAACAACCCCAUAAAAUAGGCAGAGUAGAUAUUCUUUUCUCAUCUGGUAGUAAGAAACUCAAUGAUCAAGAAGAUUAAACAAUUUGUCUAAAUAUACUGAGUGCUAGGUUUAGAACUCAAGAGUAAAUCCUUUUAUUUCAAAGUCUUCGCUUUUCUCAUUGUAAAUAUGCUGAACGUCUGCCUCUGUACAAAAUAUUUUCUUGAUGGAUAACUUUAUGCAGAAAUUCUCCCAGGGGAUUAGAGAUUAUUUUAGGAGAUUCAGCUCACUUGAAUUCUAAAUGUGGAAUUUAAA
rnacentral:lncRNA from 1 species